ACUGGCUCAGGAUGAACGCUAGCGGCAGGCUAACACAUGCAAGUCGAGGGGCAUCGGGAGUAGCAAUACUGCCGGCGACCGGCGCAAGGGUGCGUAACGCGUGAGCAACAUGCCCGUAUCAGGGGGGAUAAUCCAUGGAAAACGUGGUCUAAUACCCCAUAGUAAUUAUGUAAGGCAUCUUAUAUAAUUUAAAGCUUUGGUGGAUACGGAUUGGCUCGCGUGACAUUAGCUGGAUGGUAAGGUAACGGCUUACCAUGGCUACGAUGUCUAGGGGUUCUGAGAGGAAGGUCCCCCACACUGGAACUGAGACACGGUCCAGACUCCUACGGGAGGCAGCAGUGAGGAAUAUUGGACAAUGGAUGGAAAUCUGAUCCAGCCAUGCCGCGUGACAGGAAGACGGCCCUAUGGGUUGUAAACUGUCUUUUGUAUGGGAGCAAUAAGGGCUACGUGUAGUCCGAUGAGAGUACCAUACGAAUAAGCACCGGCUAACUCCGUGCCAGCCGCAGC
rnacentral:rRNA from 1 species